AUAUUACACGAGUCUUUUAGUCAUCUUACAUAAAGUUUUGUUUUAUCGAACGAUGAGUUUUCUAAUUUAAAUUGUGAAAUAACAACAAUUAGAGACUUGUGUUUCCGAAGAUUGUUUUAUUGAAAACGCGCGACGAGCAAAUGCAUGCGCGAUCUAUACGUACGCCCUUCGCCACGACGAAGAUCCGUGAAAUCACGUGCGCCCCUCUGACGACAUAAAAGGACAACGUACGUCGCGUCCUUGCUAAUUGGUCAUGAUAUAUCGUCUGGAGCAUCGCGAUUACGUGAUGCACGGGGAUGGCACUUAACGACGAGAGAGUGCAUCACCUGGUAGGACUAUCCAUCACGCGUUUGGAAAAAGAAGCGGAGGGCGACGGCGAGGGAGUCAAAGCGAAAGGGAUGCGUCCGCAAUUUGUCCUCGUCACGUUUCGCGCUGGCGCUCUCUAAGAGGCGAGAAAGGGGUUGCAGCGGGGGUUGUAGCUUGUAACCUCGUUAUACAAGGACUAUAUAUUACCGUCGACUAUCAUCCAGCCUGUACGAGUGAGAUGAUCUCGAAUCGAUCUGGACGUAACGGCCGAAUAAAUUCACAUGGCGCAGAAAACAGGGUGGCGGAGGGAAGAGACGGGAGGAACACGGAGGAGGACGAGUAAAAAAAGGGAAGCUGGUGAUAGAGAGAAAAAGAGAGAGAGAGAGAGAAAGGGGAAGCCGAGGGGGUGAGGAGGGAUGUGGUGAGGAAGCCGUUGAGACGCGAUCAGCGAUGUUCCCUUUGUGCGGUUUCGCUCGCCGUCGCGGAUCGAAGGAGAGAGAGAAGAGAAAGACACCGCGUUCGUCUUCCAGCGUUCUCUCCAUUGACGAAGCCAAAGUAACCGUGUAAUCGAGACCGGCCACGGUGUAGUUUCUGGGCCUUUUUUUUCCUCUCUCGUCUUUUUGCCAGCGCUUCCUGCCGUCCUGCGAAAUUCGCGUUCCCAGCACGGCCGAUUUCGCAAGAUCGGCGUGAAGACGCGGCAAGACGAGAAUUUUCCGGCAAACGAGGAAGAA